UACGGAGGGGGCAAGCGUUGUCCGGAAUCAUUGGGCGUAAAGAGCGUGUAGGCGGUCCGGUAAGUCCGCUGUGAAAGUCGGGGGCUCAACCCUCGAAUGCCGGUGGAUACUGUCGGGCUAGAGUGCGGAAGAGGCGAGUGGAAUUCCUGGUGUAGCGGUGAAAUGCGUAGAGAUCGGAAGGAACAUCAGUGGCGAAGGCGGCCACCUGGAUCAAUACUGACGCUGAGGAGCGAAAGCGUGGGGAGCAAACAGG
rnacentral:rRNA from 1 species